rnacentral:rRNA from 1 species
AACGAACGCUGGCGGCAUGCCUAACACAUGCAAGUCGAACGAAGCCUUCGGGCUUAGUGGCGCACGGGUGCGUAACGCGUGGGAAUCUGCCCUUGGGUUCGGAAUAACAGUUAGAAAUGACUGCUAAUACCGGAUGAUGUCUUCGGACCAGAGAUUUAUCGCCCAAGGAUGAGCCCGCGUAGGAUUAGGUAGUUGGUGGGGUAAUGGCCCACCCAGCCGACGAUCCUUAGCUGGUCUGAGAGGAUGAUCAGCCACACUGGGACUGAGACACGGCGCAGACUCCUACGGGAGGCAGCAGUGGGGAAUAUUGGACAAUGGGCGAAAGCCUGAUCCAGCAAUGCCGCGUGAGUGAUGAAGGCCUUAGGGUUGUAAAGCUCUGUCUUCAGGGACGAUAAUGACGGUACCUGAGGAGGAAGCCACGGCUAACUACGUGCCAGCAGCCGCCGUAAUAC